ACAUACAGCCGGGGGAGCUCUUUUCAGAGCUGAGAGGCCGCACGUGCGGCGACCCUUCGAACCUGAUUGGUUAAGACCAGCGAAGGAAGGCAAAAAAGAAAAAUU
rnacentral:ncRNA from 2 species